GGAUGUGAGGGCAAUCUGGCUGCGACAUCUGUCACCCCAUUGAUCGGUUGAUUCGGCUGAUCUGGCUGGCUAGGCAGGUGUCCCCUUCCUCCCUAACCGCUCCAUGUGCGUCCCUCCCGAAGCUGCGCGCUCGGUGGAAGAGGACGACGUCCCAGGUAUAGAAGGAGUGUACCAAGGUCUCCAGUCUUCGGCCCCGGGUAUACGAUAGCUGCGCUCCCCUGCUAGAACCUCCAAACAAGGUCAUUCUUUCACCUUUCUGCUGCCCCAUGUCUGUCCCCUCUGGAGAACAGCUAUUGGACAAAGGCAGUCACU
rnacentral:snRNA from 1 species